CCUACGGAGGCAGCAGUGGGGAAUAUUGGGCAAUGGGCGAAAGCCUGACCCAGCGACGCCGCGUGAGGGACGAAGGCCUUCGGGUUGUAAACCUCUUUCAGCAGGGAAGAAGCGAAAGUGACGGUACCUGCAGAAGAAGCACCGGCUAACUACGUGCCAGCAGCCGCGGUAAUACGUAGGGUGCAAGCGUUGUCCGGAAUUAUUGGGCGUAAAGAGCUCGUAGGUGGUUUGCCACGUCGGAUGUGAAAACCUGAGGCUUAACCUCAGGCCUGCAUUCGAUACGGGCAGACUAGAGUGUGGUAGGGGAGACUGGAAUUCCUGGUGUAGCGGUGAAAUGCGCAGAUAUCAGGAGGAACACCGGUUGGCGAAGGCGGGUCUCUGGGGCCAUAACUGACACUGAGGAGCGAAAGCGUGGGGAGCAAACAGGAUUAGAUACCCUGGUAGUCCACGCCGUAAACGGUGGGCACUAGAUGUGGGGACCUUCCACGGUCUCUGCGUCGCAGCUAACGCAUUAAGUGCCCCGCCUGGGGAAGUACGGCCGCAAGGCUAAAACUCAAAGGAAUUGACGGCUGAGAGNGCGACGACGACACGAGGAGAG
rnacentral:rRNA from 1 species